AAGUAAUUUGCAUAAUCCCAUUUGUAACCUUUGUAUCUUAUGCUUCGGCUUCUUCUUUAUUUCUCAGUCGAGAAAAACCAAUGGAACUCUCCACCAUCUCCAUCCCUGCCACCACCAUCUCCAUCUCGUCACUGUAUAGCCUUCCGAAUUCCGCCACCAUCACCACCACCUCCAUCACGGCCAUCACCAAGACUGCAACAUCUUGUUCAAUAUCCAAGCAUCCUGUAUUGGAUCUAAAUCUGUAGAAAAUUAUCAGAUCUGUACCAACUCUUAUUCUGGUUGUUCGAAUCUGGAUUAGAAUACAACGAAGUCGUUUUAUGAGAUUUAAAGCAUGUAUACGAUGGUUUUUGAUUGAAGGCUCCUCAUAGGUGAUGAUGUUUUAUGGGAUAAUUGUGAAGAGGGACUUCAAGUAUAUAGGAGGUGGAAGACGAUCUUAUGCAAAAGGUGGAAGACGAUCUUAUUACGGUACAUAUUCAGAGGGUUUCACACUGGAUAACUGACUUAGAAAUCAGUGGACAAAUCACAAAGGCUUUCAUGAAUCACCUCAUCUAUGAUCCUGGAGUACUCCUCGAAAGGUUCAUUAUCACUGCGAAAGAAUAAAUCAACCUCAUUUUCGUGACUAGUAUUCUUUGGUUCUGGAUGUGCUAGUUGAUCCCAGAUUUUGGAAAUAACCUAUGCAAGUUUAUCCCAGAUUCGGAGACAACUUGUACAUGUUGCUUCUGAAAUGAGAUAAUACGAGGUUUCUGGGUUCCAAAUCUGGGAACAACUUAUCCAAGUUGCUUCCGCCACUGGAGACAACUUCUGCUAGUUGCUUCUAUUGCUGGAGACAACUUCUCCUAGUUGCUUCGAGAAUGAGAUAUUACAAGUGCUUGUGUUCCAGAUUUUGGGAACAACUCACCAAGUUGUUUCCAAUACUGAAGACAACUUAUGCUAGUUGCUUCCAUCUUUGAAGAACUUGAACCAAGUUGCUUCCUCUAAAAGAAAACUUGCAUGGUUCUGUUUAUAUUUUUAUACGUUUCCUUCUAGAUAUGCACACCUGCAAUCAUAUAACAACACUGACUGUAUCUGUAAUCAUAUAACAAAUUGUAUAUGCAGUCAUAUUUCAGUAAUAAAUAUAAAUAAUUCAUUCUUUCAUGUUAACAAUUAAAGUCUACAUCUCAAUAUUCAUUCAACAGUAACAUAACUAAUACUGAAAAGAGUGUAUCCUUUCAUGAAUAGAUCUUUUCCACAGGUUUACAUCGGUGCUACAAUUUAGCUUUCAACCAAUCACAUUCAGAUCUGUUUCUUUCUGAAGCCUUUCCACAUUCAUCUUGAUCCUUUU